UCCCUGGUCAUCCAGUGGUUAGGACUCAGUGCUUUCACUGCUGAGGGCCUCGGUUCAAUCCCUGGCCUGGGAA
rnacentral:tRNA from 1 species